ensembl:lncRNA STXBP5-AS1 STXBP5 antisense RNA 1
AUUGCAUAAUGCAGUAGCCACUGGAUUUGCAGCAGAAACACUCUGCUACAGAACAAGUGUCUUGGUUCACAGCAAAGAGGACAAAGAAAACAGCAAGUUUUAGGGGGUUGAAUCCUGGAUUCCCCUGGCAAACACCAUUCUACUUUCCGUCUCUAUGAAUUUGACUACUCGAAGUACCUCAUGUGAAAUGUUGGUGCCAAAUGAACUUUUCUGGUUCUUCUGAAUAUGCCACUGUUGCUGGAGAAAUGUCACUGCUAGAGAACAGAAGACUAUUAUUCCAAAGGGUAUUUGAGACUGACUGAAUCAGGUCUGGAACAUUAUUGAAAUGAGACCCACAAAAGAAGAGAUACUGAGAUCAUUUGCUCCAGAAGAAGCUGGUUGCCAUGUCUUGAGGACAGUAAACCCUCUGGGGAGGUUCCUGUGGUAAGGAACAAGGGCUCCUGGCAAUAGCCUCUGAGUGAGCCACCUUGAAAAUGGAUUGUCCAGCCCCAGUCAAGCUUUCAGAUGACUGUAGCUCCUGCCAAUGUCUUCACCACAACCUCAUGAGAUCCCAAGCUACAACCACUCAGAACUUCAUCUUUUGGGAAGCACCAGGGAGAGCUGCCUGUGCCUGGCAGAAGCUGCCCAUGCCCCACUGAUACCCCACAGUACUUCCUGUUCUGCUUAGUACUCCUGCUUCUUUCUACAAACAACUGUGAUUCUCUACCUGGGAGCUUCCUCUGGCCACAGGAGCCUGCUCACCUGAUUGGGACACCCUAGCAGUACUGGCUCAUAGAUGGAAGGGACUUGCCUUGUCGCUGAUGAGACUUUCGACUUGGACUUUUGAGUCAAUGCUGGAAUGAGUUAAGACUUUGGGGAACUGUUGGAAGGGUGUGAUUGUGUUUUGAAUUGUGAGGACAUGAGAUUUUGAAGAGGCUAAUGGCAGCGUCCCCACCUAAAUCUCUUCUUGAAUUGUAGUUCCCAUAAUCCCCACGUGUCGUGGGGUGGAGCCGGUGGAGAUAAUUGAAUCAUGGGAACACUUUCCCCCAUGCUGUUAUUGUGAUUGUGAAUUCUCACGAGAUCUGAUGGUUGUAUAAACGCCUUCCCUCUUCGCUGGGCACUCAUUUUUCUCCUUCCUGCCACCAUGUGAAGAAGGAUAUGCUUGCUUCUUGUGCCAUGAUUGUAAGUUUCCUGAGGCCUCCCCAGCCAUGCUGAACUGUGAGUCAAUUGAACCUCUUUCCUUUAUAAAUUACCUAGUCUUGGAUAUGUUUUUAUUAGCAGUGUGAGACAGGACUAAUACACAAAGGAUUUGAAAUCACAAAGGAGCUGUUUUCUGCUCCACCAUGGAAGUCUCACAUGCAUCACAUCUAUUCAUAUCCAUUUGCCACAACUAGACAAAAAGUCCUUUUUAAAAUCUGCCUAGAGAUCAGGAAGUAUUAUCUCUGGAUGCCUAGGCAGGAGAGGUGAAUCAGAUAUUGGUGGGCACUAGUGUGUUCUAUGAUACAUAGCUUAAUAAAAAUAAGUUUCAGAUAAAUCUAAAUAUACAUUAGAAUACUGUAACCACAGUAGAAAAAAAUAUUGGCUCCUUUUUGUGAUAAACUAAUGAUGGUAAAUGCACCCUAUUUAAGCAAGAAAAGAAACUGAUCUGCCAUAAAGAAAACAAUGACAUAUUUAACUACAAAAUAUGUUACAAAAUAUUAAUAUCCCUAAUGGACAAAUGAGUUCCAAUAAAUGGAUAACAAAAAACCAAUAAGUCUGUAGAAAAAUGGAGAAAAUAUAUUUGCAGAAUAUUUAUACAGGUGGUAAUGAAAUUGACAAUGAUGUUUAUCAUCAGCAGUAAACAGUAAAAAGUUUCACCCACCAGGACUAUAGAAAUUUUUCAAAUGGAUAAUUUUCAGAAUCAGCAAAGUUAUAGAAAAGUAGGUACCAGUUGCACAUACCAUUGGAGGAAAUGUAAAAUAUAGUUACCUUGUGGAAAGUAAUCUGAUGUAAUAUAUUAAAAUUUUAUCCAUGUAUGUCCUAUAAUUCAGCAAUUCCAUGUUGGGGAAUCCAUACAAAGAAAUACUUAUACACAUGCAGAAGGAGCUAAGUUUAAGAAAGCACACAUUUCAGCGGGUUGUGGUGUCUCACCCCUGUAAUCCCAGCACAUUGGGAGGCCGAGGUUGGUGGAUCACCUGAGGUCAGGAGUUUGAGACCAGCCUGGCCAACAUGGUGAAACCCUGUCUCUACUAAAAAUACAAAAAAUUAGCUGGUGUGGCAGUGGGUGCCUGCAGCUACUCAGGAGGCUGAGGCAGGAGAAUCGCUUGAACCUGGGAGGUGGAGGUUGCAGUGAGCUGAGAUCACACCACUG